rnacentral:rRNA from 1 species
UACGAAGGGGGCUAGCGUUGCUCGGAAUCACUGGGCGUAAAGCGCACGUAGGCGGCUUGUUAAGUCAGGGGUGAAAUCCUGGAGCUCAACUCCAGAACUGCCUUUGAUACUGGCGAGCUUGAGUUCGGGAGAGGUGAGUGGAACUGCGAGUGUAGAGGUGGAAAUUCAUUGAGAUAUUCGCAAGAACACCAGUGGCGAAGGCGGCUCACUGGCCCGAUACUGACGCUGAGGCACGAAAGCGUGGGGAGCAAACAGG